rnacentral:rRNA from 1 species
GAUGAACGCUGGCGGCGUGCUUAACACAUGCAAGUCGAACGAAGCAUUUAAGACAGAUUACUUCGGUUUGAGGUCUUUUAUGACUGAGUGGCGGACGGGUGAGUAACGCGUGGGUAACCUGCCUCAUACAGGGGGAUAGCAGCUGGAAACUGCUGGUAAUACCGCAUAAGCGCACAGUACCACAUGGUACAGUGUGAAAAACUCCGGUGGUAUGAGAUGGACCCGCGUCUGAUUAGCUUGUUGGCGGGGUAACGGCCCACCAAGGCGACGAUCAGUAGCCGACCUGAGAGGGUGACCGGCAACAUUGGGACUGAGACACGGCCCAGACUCCUACGGGAGGCAGCAGUGGGGAAUAUUGCACAAUGGAGGAAACUCUGAUGCAGCGACGCCGCGUGAGUGAAGAAGUAGUUCGCUAUGUAAAGCUCUAUCAGCAGGGAAGAUAGUGACGGUACCUGACGAAGAAGCUCCGGCUAAAUACGUG